GUUGUUCAGCAAAGUUAACAUGAAGGCCUAUCCUGCUUUACAUGAGAUUUACAGAAACUUCCAAAAUGUGAUUCCUGAGAACUUCAGUUACACAAUUACUGAUGAUGAAGAUAGAAAUUAUCGCCUCAACUCCCAAUUAAACUGUGAACAAGUGUGCCGUGAACACUCACCUCUCCAAAGAAAUAAUGUAAGAGGGUUAGAAGAGAGACCCAACUUACUGCCCCAG